AUAGGACUAGAGGGAAUGGCUUCAAGCUGCGCCAGGGAAGAUUCAGGCUGGACGUUAGGAAAUACUACUUCUCUGAAAGGGUGGUCAGGCACUGGAAUGGGCUGCCCAGAGAGGUGGUGGAGUCACCGACCCUGGUGGUGUUCAGAGAGCGUUUGGAUGUUGUAUUGAGGGACAUGGUUUAGCGGGAACCAUUGGUGUUCAAAGAGUGUUUGGAUGUUGUAUUGAGGGACAUGGCUUAGCGAGAACCAUUGAUGAAGGGCGAACGAAUGGUUGGACUGGAUGAUCCUGUGAGUCUUUUCCAACCUUAGCGAUUCUAUGAUUCUGUAAGAAUCUUAAUUGCAGCUUGCAU
ensembl:lncRNA